CAGUAGCCGCGGUAAUACGAAGGGGGCUAGCGUUGCUCGGAAUGACUGGGCGUAAAGGGCGCGUAGGCGGAUGGCACAGUCAGAUGUGAAAUUCCCGGGCUUAACCCGGGGGCUGCAUUUGAUACGUGUUGUCUAGAGUGAGGAAGAGGGUCGUGGAAUUCCCAGUGUAGAGGUGAAAUUCGUAGAUAUUGGGAAGAACACCGGUGGCGAAGGCGGCGACCUGGUCCUUUACUGACGCUGAGGCGCGAAAGCGUGGGGAGCAAACAGGAUUAGAUACCCCCCGUAGUCCCUGUCUCUUAUA
rnacentral:rRNA from 1 species